GCUAGCACCCGAGGCCAAGCAAAACAAAUUGCACUGAACGCCAUCCUCUGCACCGUAGCAUCACCAACCUCAUGCAUGUUCAUCUUUUCUUCGCUAGCAUGACCUCCGUAAGCCAACCACCAUAGCCCUCUGUCCAUCAGCUCCGAGCAACUGGACGAGAUUUCUCUCACACGGCAGAGGCCACCGACGCCACCACCCCUCCCCCAUCUCUCGGAAAACCCAGCCGUUUAUCCUCUGUUUUAGCUCCCGAAAACAGAGUACCGUCCCUGUUGGAAUACCACAGACCGACGCCCUCUCAGCCACCGUGACCCUCCGAGUGCCACCGAUGUUGCCCAGCUGCUAUCAUUACUCCUCCGUGUCGCUGCCGAAAGACUCCCCUUAACGCCUCUUGCACUGCCGUCGGGACAGCCACCUUCCACUCGCCCAGCCCGUCGCGCCUUGCCCCUCCACGCAUAUCUCGGUUUUAGUUGUGACGGUUAGUAUCUGUUCAGCACUGUUGUG